GGGAUUUUUGGAAGUUUGUGGCGGAGGUGAGGCCGAGGUGACUGCAGAGCGGCUCGCGAGUUCUGUGAUAUGAGCAACAAUGGACCAGAAGAUUUUAUCUCUAGCAGCAGAAAAAACAGCAGACAAACUGCAAGAAUUUCUUCAAACCCUGAGAGAAGGUGAUUUGACUAAUCUCCUUCAGAAUCAAGCAGUGAAAGGAAAAGUUGCUGGAGCACUCCUGAGAGCCAUCUUCAAAGGUAAUAAUAAUUAAUGUCACUUCUGUCUGUCUCCUGCAUUCAUUGGUAGAUUUGUUUAGUUUUGGUACUUUUCUUACUGUUUGAAGCCCCACUGGAACAUUUUCCAUGUUUUGAGGAUUCUACAGAUCAACUGCAGCAGCAGUUUCCUGUCUAGUGGACUUAAGUAAUUUUACUGAAGGGAGUUUGAAGUGGCUACCUGAGAUUGUGUUGCUUAUUUGGGGGCCUGGAAUUACAGAAUGUGCUUUUCGUAAAAUCUGCUUUGGUUUACUUGUGCUUUUAAGAUUGUGGAGA
rnacentral:sRNA from 1 species